AUGGUCUUAGGUGUUGACCAUUGACUUUGAAAUUGUUUUAUUUGCAGUCUUGAAAAAGUUCUGUUUCUGGAGUAGGUUUCUUUCUCUUCGUGUUCGACUUUAAGGAACAUUUUAACUCAUCUCCUCCAAUUUGGGAGGACGUUCUGUUUCUGGUGUUGCUCUCCAGUUCACAUGUAUAUUUCUUUAUAUAUGAUCAUUUAUGUAGAUAUAAAUUGAUCGUUUGUGUUUGAAGUUCUUGACAAAUGGUACCUGGUGACAGCCUUUGUUGAUGGAUGGCUGAAAAUGUUCCUGUCCCUUGAGCUUGAUCUUGACAGAUUUGCAUUCAUUAAAAGGAUUCAAGUUACGUAACUUGAAUUUAUUUCUAAGGAUUCUCUUGGCUGCAGACGUUCCAUUAAGUUGAAAUAAGCAGAUCUACUGUCUUAAGCUUUUCUUUUUAACGAUCAUGAGGAUUACAGAGAUUGCUGGCAUUGUUCUCUCAUUUGACCCGAAGCCUAUCCAGGUAAAUUUAUUUUUGGAUGCCACCUAUCUUCUUCUUCUUUUUUUCAUUGUUUUA